rnacentral:rRNA from 1 species
UACGUAGGGCGCAAGCGUUGUCCGGAAUUAUUGGGCGUAAAGAGCUCGUAGGCGGCUUGCCACGUCGGGUGUGAAAGCCCGGGGCUUAACCCCGGGUCUGCAUUCGAUACGGGCUGGCUAGAGUGUGGUAGGGGAGAUCGGAAUUCCUGGUGUAGCGGUGAAAUGCGCAGAUAUCAGGAGGAACACCGGUGGCGAAGGCGGAUCUCUGGGCCAUUACUGACGCUGAGGAGCGAAAGCGUGGGGAGCGAACAGG